rnacentral:lncRNA from 1 species
GUCUUACAGAGAUCCUAGAAAUGAUUUAUUAAUGAGACCUAGAUUUUUUCCCUGGUUGUAAUGUAGGGAGAUCUUAAUAAGCAAUGAAUUGCUGUGUCUGCAAUCACUUCUGAGAGGCUUAGAAGGAAAAUAAUAAUACUACGACUAAUAUGAUUGCUCUCCUUACACUGCCAUCCGGUGGAUGCAAAUUUCAUUUCCUUUUGUAAAUGGAAAGGGAAAUUCUCCUACUGAUAUCACAGCUUGCAAACUUGCACCAAGCUGACUCUUACUUGUAAUGUAAUUUCCAGGCCAGUGAGGAAAAUGUUGGUUAUUCUUUAAUUUUAGUUGUUUCAUAUUAGGAAAAAGCUUUCCAGUCUCUUAUCUACAAAAAAACCCCAUCAUCUACGAAGGAAUAGGAAGUAAACCUGCCUGGAUCUUCAAAAAGGGCUUUGAAAACCUCCCACUCUCUGCUCUCAAUAUCUGGCAUGGAGAGCCCAAGCCACUGAGCACUGCUGCUCCGGAUGCUUUUGGAAAAUGAAGGUUGAGCUGCUCUUUUGAUUUUCAGACAAUCAGUGUGUGGGCUAGAAACAGCAGAGCCUUGGGUCAGAUGCAGCACCGCAUUUUUGGCUUGGGGUGGGGAGGCAGGAGGCCAGGAUUUAACUCUCUGCUUUUUCCCCCUAGGACUGAUAACUGAAAUGGUUAGAAGGAGCAAGUUAUGGUGCUCACAGACUCCUACCUGCUGGUCUGCAAAUGGGACUUCACCACACUGAGCUGCAAAUCUCGCCCACCAUGGUUGGCCUCUUCACCAUCCUGGCAAAAUCUGGAGACCUGCAGCAAUAGGCUAUCCUGUGCCUCUCUGCGAGGAGGGCUGUGGAAGUGGAGCAGAAUAACCAGCCCCAGGGACCUGCGCUGGGAGGAUGAAUGAUGGUAUUUCAGCUGCUGCAGGUGGGCCAGGGUGACCAGCAUCCCACCAUGCCAAGGAGGUCAAUUGAAGUUUAGCUGCCGACUUCGUGAACAGGAUUUCAACCCAUGUCUGCGAUUAGUGAUGAAAUGAAAUCCACGGCUUGAAAUCAUUUAUCCAGCACAUCCGAUCAAACACAAACAUCUCCGUGCUUGAAAAUAAAUGAGGGUUGGAGCCAGCUAGGCUGCUGCA